rnacentral:misc_RNA from 1 species
GAUGAAGAACGUAGCGAAAUGCGAUAAGUAAUGUGAAUUGCAGAAUUCAGUGAAUCAUCGAAUCUUUGAACGCACAUUGCGCCCGCUAGUAUUCUGGCGGGCAUGCCUGUCCGAGCGUCAUUUCAACCCUCAAGCCCCCGGGCUUGGUGUUGGGGAUCGGCGAGCCUCCGCGCCCGCCGUCUCCUAAAUCUAGUGGCGGUCUCGCUGUAGCUUCCUCUGCGUAGUAGCACACCUCGCACUGGGAAACAGCGCGGCCACGCCGUUAAACCCCCAACUUCUGAACGUUUGACCUCGGAUCAGGUAGGAAUACCCGCUGAACUUAAGCAUAUCAAUAAGCGGAGGA